UUUUUUUUAUUUAGGAAAGAUUGAGUGUAGAGGAAAUCGAUCAGGGCUCCCCGUAUACAUUGUGUAUGGUACCGUUACGAUCUUCAUUAAGAGAAUUGCGCUCUUUAAACUUAUCGUUAAAUUAAUUGUUGCGUAUCUUGUAUUAAGUGAGAAAGUUUUAUUGUUAAAGUGAGAAAAUUGUAUUGUUAAAACGGAUAAAUUUUUUGUUCAAUGUGUUUAUAUGUUGGAACAUUAUAAAUGUAUUUUUGAAGUUUAAAUGCUUUUAAUGGGAAAAAUAUAUUGCUAUAUUCAAACUAA